AGUGAGCGGAUGAACUGAGGGUAGCGGAGAAAUUCCAAUCGAACCUGGAGAUAGCUGGUUCUCUCCGAAAUAGCUUUAGGGCUAGCCUCAAGUGAUGAUUAUUGGAGGUAGAGCACUGUUUGGACGAGGGGCCCCUCUCGGGUUACCGAAUUCAGACAAACUCCGAAUGCCAAUUAAUUUAACUUGGGAGUCAGAACAUGGGUGAUAAGGUCCGUGUUCGAAAGGGAAACAGCCCAGACCACCAGCUAAGGUCCCAAAAUAUAUGUUAAGUGGAAAAGGAUGUGGCGUUGCCCAGACAACUAGGAUGUUGGCUUAGAAGCAGCCAUCAUUUAAAGAGUGCGUAAUAGCUCACUAGUCGAGUGACACUGCGCCGAAAAUGUACCGGGGCUAAACAUAUUACCGAAGCUGUGGAUUGUCCUUUGGACAAUGGUA
rnacentral:rRNA from 1 species